GUGUCGAAGAAAAGGAGAGCUUUUCAGCACUCCCCUUGAUAAGGAUGGACACAAAUACGGGGUGGCACAGUCGCCUACUUCGCGGCUCCCGUACCCAAUUUUUUUC